AGAGUUUGAUCAUGGCUCAGAUUGAACGCUGGCGGCAUGCCUUACACAUGCAAGUCGAACGGUAACGCGGGGGCAACCCUGGCGACGAGUGGCGAACGGGUGAGUAGCGCAUCGGAACGUGCCCAGUAGUGGGGGAUAGCUCGGCGAAAGCCGGAUUAAUACCGCAUACGACCUACGGGUGAAAGCGGGGGACCGCAAGGCCUCGCGCUAUUGGAGCGGCCGAUGCCCGAUUAGCUAGUUGGUGAGGUAAAAGCUCACCAAGGCAACGAUCGGUAGCUGGUCUGAGAGGACGACCAGCCACACUGGGACUGAGACACGGCCCAGACUCCUACGGGAGGCAGCAGUGGGGAAUUUUGGACAAUGGGGGAAACCCUGAUCCAGCCAUGCCGCGUGCGGGAAGAAGGCCUUCGGGUUGUAAACCGCUUUUGGCAGGAACGAAACGGCGCGCGCCAAUACCACGCGUUAAUGACGGUACCUGCAGAAUAAGCACCGGCUAACUACGUGCCAGCAGCCGCGGUAAUACGUAGGGUGCGAGCGUUAAUCGGAAUUACUGGGCGUAAAGCGUACGCAGGCGGCCAUGCAAGACAGGUGUGAAAUCCCCGGGCUUAACCUGGGAACUGCAUUUGUGACUGCAUGGCUAGAGUUUGUCAGAGGGGGGUGGAAUUCCACGUGUAGCAGUGAAAUGCGUAGAGAUGUGGAGGAACACCGAUGGCGAAGGC
rnacentral:rRNA from 1 species